AUGUCCUGUUUAUCUCGCAGAGCCUGAGCAGCAAUCACACCCCACACAUUUAACGCACAAGAUGCUCACAAAUACUGUAUGCAUGCCGACACACUCGAGUGGGUAUACGCUUAAAAUGGAGCUCGCACAGCCUCGGCCUGUACCGUGUAUCAUGAAGGGAUUGUCUGUCUUUCUCUUUACACGCGCGCUUAACCAUGUGUGACGUCACUCGGUGAGAAACAACCCUGGUAAUACCCGCCUUGCUGAAAGCGGGUCUGCGAUACAGCCCGAGUACGGCGAGCUCAGGCCGGGGCCAGAGGGAGUCUCGCUGCAUUCAUCUCCAAGCGUGAUCACCAACGUGAGCCGGAAAAUGCAGCUGGAUUUGGCAGAUGAAAAACUUUGAAAUUGAGUUUGACAGCGUUGGAGUAGCGGCAAGUGAUACUUAAUACCACAGAGAGGAAGGAGAGGACAGAAGACGAGGUGAGUGAUGCGGCGGAUCCGGAUUGUUUGUGCCUCCAUGCUGGGAAGCAGCGUCUGCCAAAUACAACUGAAUGCAAGGCUAA